UACGUAGGGUGCAAGCGUUAAUCGGAAUUACUGGGCGUAAAGCGUGCGCAGGCGGUUUUGCAAGACCGAUGUGAAAUCCCCAGGCUUAACCUGGGAACUGCAUUCGAGACUGCAUUGCUAGAGUAUGGGAGAGGGAAGUGGAAUUUCCGGUGUAGCGGUGAAAUGCGUAGAUAUCGGAAGGAACAUCAGUGGCGAAAGCGACUUCCUGGACCAAUACUGACGCUCAUGUGCGAAAGCGUGGGGAGCAAACAGG
rnacentral:rRNA from 1 species